UACGAAGGGGGCUAGCGUUGCUCGGAAUCACUGGGCGUAAAGGGUGCGUAGGCGGGUCUUUAAGUCCGAGGGGAAAUCCUGGAGCUCAACUCCAGAACUGCCUUUGAUACUGAGGAUCUUGAGUUCGGGAGAGGUGAGUGGAACUGCGAGUGUAGAGGUGAAAUUCGUAGAUAUUCGCAAGAACACCAGUGGCGAAGGCGGCUCACUGGCCCGAUACUGACGCUGAGGCACGAAAGCGUGGGGAGCAAACGGG
rnacentral:rRNA from 1 species